UACGUAGGGUGCGAGCGUUGUCCGGAAUUACUGGGCGUAAAGAGCUCGUAGGUGGUUUGUCGCGUUGUUCGUGAAAACUCACAGCUCAACUGUGGGCGUGCGGGCGAUACGGGCAGACUAGAGUACUGCAGGGGAGACUGGAAUUCCUGGUGUAGCGGUGGAAUGCGCAGAUAUCAGGAGGAACACCGGUGGCGAAGGCGGGUCUCUGGGCAGUAACUGACGCUGGAGGAGCGAAAAGCGUGGGGAGCGAACAGG
rnacentral:rRNA from 1 species